AUUGAACGCUGGCGGCAUGCCUUACACAUGCAAGUCGAAAGGCAGCACGUCCCCUCGGGGAUGGUGGCGAGUGGCGAACGGGUGAGUAAUACAUCGGAACGUGCCCUGAAGUGGGGGAUAACGUAGCGAAAGUUACGCUAAUACCGCAUAUUCUGUGAGCAGGAAAGCAGGGGAUCUUAGGACCUUGUGCUUUAGGAGCGGCCGAUGUCGGAUUAGCUAGUUGGUGGGGUAAAGGCCUACCAAGGCGACGAUCCGUAGCGGGUCUGAGAGGAUGAUCCGCCACACUGGAACUGAGACACGGUCCAGACUCCUACGGGAGGCAGCAGUGGGGAAUUUUGGACAAUGGGCGCAAGCCUGAUCCAGCCAUGCCGCGUGAGUGAAGAAGGCCUUCGGGUUGUAAAGCUCUUUCGGCGGGGAAGAAAUUGCGUGGGUUAAUACCCUGCGUAGAUGACGGUACCCGCAUAAGAAGCACCGGCUAACUACGUGCCAGCCGCCGCGGUAACAC
rnacentral:rRNA from 1 species